AAAGUGCUACAUUGUUUGGG
rnacentral:miRNA from 1 species